AUGUUUUUAGUAUACGCGUACAUUUACCUUCCAAGUAAAAAGAUUACCUCCGGUAAAAAACAUA
rnacentral:tRNA from 1 species